rnacentral:rRNA from 1 species
UACGUAGGGGGCGAGCGUUAUCCGGAUUCAUUGGGCGUAAAGCGCUCGUAGGCGGCCUGCUAGGUCGGGAGUCAAAUGCGGGGGCCCAACCCCCGGCCGCUCCCGAUACCGGCGGGCUUGAGUUUGGUAGGGGAAGGCGGAAUUCCCGGUGUAGCGGUGGAAUGCGCAGAUAUCGGGAAGAACACCGGUGGCGAAGGCGGCCUUCUGGGCCACAACUGACGCUGAGGAGCGAAAGCUGGGGGAGCGAACAGGAUUAGAUACCCUGGUAGUCCCAGCCGUAAACGAUGGACACUAGGUGUGGGGGGGACGCCCCUCCGUGCCGCAGCCAACGCAUUAAGUGUCCCGCCUGGGGAGUACGGCCGCAAGGCUAAA